rnacentral:rRNA from 1 species
GGCCUGAGAGGGUGAUCGGACACACUGGAACUGAGACACGGUCCAGACUCCUAUGGGAGGCAGCAGUAGGGAAUAUUGCUCAAUGGGGGAAACCCUGAAGCAGCAACGCCGCGUGGAGGAUGAAGGUUUUAGGAUUGUAAACUCCUUUUGUAAGAGAAGAUUAUGACGGUAUCUUACGAAUAAGCACCGGCUAACUCCGUGCCAGCAGCCGCGGUAAUACGGAGGGUGCAAGCGUUACUCGGAAUCACUGGGCGUAAAGAGCGCGUAGGCGGGAGAGUAAGUCAGAUGUGAAAUCCUGUAGCUUAACUACAGAACUGCAUUUGAAACUACUUUUCUAGAGUAUGGGAGAGGUAGGUGGAAUUCUUGGUGUAGGGGUAAAAUCCGUAGAGAUCAAGAGGAAUACUCAUUGCGAAGGCGACCUGCUGGAACAUUACUGACGCUGAUGCGCGAAAGCGUGGGGAGCAAACAGGAUUAGAUACCCUGGUAGUCCACGCCCUAAACGAUGAAUGCUAGUUGUUGCCCUGCUUGUCAGGGCAGUAAUGCAGCUAACGCAUUAAGCAUUCCGCCUGGGGAGUACGGUCGCAAGAUUAAAACUCAAAGGAAUAGACGGGGACCCGCACAAGCGGUGGAGCAUGUGGUUUAAUUCGAGGAUACGCGAAGAACCUUACCUAGGCUUGACAUUGAUAGAAUCCGCUAGAGAUAGUGGAGUGCUGGCUUGCCAGAGCUUGAAAACAGGUGCUGCACGGCUGUCGUCAGCUCGUGUCGUGAGAUGUUGGGUUAAGUCCCGCAACGAGCGCAACCCUCGUCCUUAGUUGCUAGCAGUUCGGCUGAGCACUCUAAGGAGACUGCCUUCGUAAGGAGGAGGAAGGUGAGGACGACGUCAAGUCAUCAUGGCCCUUACGCCUAGGGCUACACACGUGCUACAAUGGGACAUACAAAAAGAUGCAAUACCGCGAGGUGGAGCAAAUCUCUAAAAUGUCUCUCAGUUCGGAUUGUAGUCUGCAACUCGACUACAUAAAGCUGGAAUCGCUAGUAAUCGCAAAUCAGCAAUGUUGCGGUGAAUACGUUCCCGGGUCUUGUACUCACCGCCCGUCACACCAUGGGAGUUGUAUUCGCCUUAAGUCGGGAUACUAAAUUGGUUACCGCCCACGGCGGAUG